rnacentral:tRNA from 1 species
GUUUAUAUAGCAAAAUGGUUAAUGCAUCAGACUUAGGAUCUGCUACUAUAAGUUCAAAACUUAUUUUAAACU